UACAGAGGGUGCGAGCGUUAAUCGGAAUUACUGGGCGUAAAGCGCGCGUAGGUGGUUUGGUCAGUCAGAUGUGAAAGCCCAGGGCUUAACCUUGGAACUGCAUCUGAUACUGCCAGACUAGAGUAUGUGAGAGGGAAGUAGAAUUCCAGGUGUAGCGGUGAAAUGCGUAGAGAUCUGGAGGAAUACCGAUGGCGAAGGCAGCUUCCUGGCAUAAUACUGACACUGAGGUGCGAAAGCGUGGGUAGCAAACGGG
rnacentral:rRNA from 1 species